ACCAGACUCCUACGGGAGGCAGCAGUGAGGAAUAUUGGUCAAUGGGCGCGAGCCUGAACCAGCCAAGUCGCGUGAGGGAAGACGGUCCUAUGGAUUGUAAACCUCUUUUGCCGGGGAGCAAAAAGCGGUACGUGUACCGCAUCGAGAGUACCCGGAGAAAAAGCAUCGGCUAACUCCGUGCCAGCAGCCGCGGUAAUACGGAGGAUGCGAGCGUUAUCCGGAUUUAUUGGGUUUAAAGGGUGCGCAGGCGGAAUGUCAAGUCAGCGGUAAAAUUUCGGGGCUCAACCCCGUCGUGCCGUUGAAACUGGCGUUCUUGAGUGAGCGAGAAGUAUGCGGAAUGCGUGGUGUAGCAGUGAAAUGCAUAGAUAUCACGCAGAACUCCGAUUGCGAAGGCAGCAUACCGGCGCUCAACUGACGCUCAUGCACGAAAGCGUGGGUAUCGAACAGGAUUAGAUACCCCCGUAGAG
rnacentral:rRNA from 1 species